rnacentral:rRNA from 1 species
UACGUAGGGUGCGAGCGUUGUCCGGAAUUACUGGGCGUAAAGAGCUCGUAGGUGGUUUGUCGCGUUGUUCGUGAAAACUCACAGCUUAACUGUGGGCGUGCGGGCGAUACGGGCAGACUGGAGUACUGCAGGGGAGACUGGGAAUUCCUGUGUAGCGGUGGAAUGCGCAGAUAUCAGGAGGAACACCGGUGGCGAAGGCGGGUCUCUGGGCAGUAACUGACGCUGAGGAGCGAAAAGCGUGGGGGAGCGAACAGG